GAUGAACGCUGGCGGCGUGCCUAAUACAUGCAAGUCGAGCGAACAGACGAGGAGCUUGCUCCUCUGACGUUAGCGGCGGACGGGUGAGUAACACGUGGAUAACCUACCUAUAAGACUGGGAUACCUUCGGGAAACCGGAGCUAAUACUGGAUAAUAUAUUGAACCGCAUGGUUCAAUAGUGAAAGACGGUUUUGCUGUCACUUAUAGAUGGAUCCGCGCCGCAUUAGCUAGUUGGUAAGGUAACGGCUUACCAAGGCAACGAUGCGUAGCCGACCUGAGAGGGUGAUCGGCCACACUGGAACUGAGACACGGUCCAGACUCCUACGGGAGGCAGCAGUAGGGAAUCUUCCGCAAUGGGCGAAAGCCUGACGGAGCAACGCCGCGUGAGUGAUGAAGGUCUUCGGAUCGUAAAACUCUGUUAUUAGGGAAGAACAAAUGUGUAAGUAACUAUGCACGUCUUGACGGUACCUAAUCAGAAAGCCACGGCUAACUACGUG
rnacentral:rRNA from 1 species